CGCACGGGUGAGUAACACGUAUCCAACCUGCCGUCUACUCUUGGACAGCCUUCUAGAAAGGAAGAUUAAUACAAGAUGGCAUCAUGAGUUCACAUGUUCACAUGAUUAAAGGUAUUCCGGUAGACGAUGGGGAUGCGUUCCAUUAGAUAGUAGGCGGGGUAACGGCCCACCUAGUCUUCGAUGGAUAGGGGUUCUGAGAGGAAGGUCCCCCACAUUGGAACUGAGACACGGUCCAA
rnacentral:rRNA from 1 species